AGUGAACGCUGGCGGCAGGCCUAACACAUGCAAGUCGAGCGGCAGCGCGGGGGCAACCCUGGCGGCGAGCGGCGGACGGGUGAGGAAUGCAUCGGAAUCUACCUCGUUGUGGGGGAUAACCUCGGGAAACCGGGACUAAUACCGCAUACGACCUACGGGUGAAAGUGGGGGACCUUCGGGCCUCACGCGAUGAGAUGAGCCGAUGCCGGAUUAGCUAGUUGGCGGGGUAAAGGCCCACCAAGGCGACGAUCCGUAGCUGGUCUGAGAGGAUGAUCAGCCACACUGGAACUGAGGCACGGUCCAGACUCCUACGGGAGGCAGCAGUGGGGAAUAUUGGACAAUGGGCGCAAGCCUGAUCCAGCCAUGCCGCGUGUGUGAAGAAGGCC
rnacentral:rRNA from 1 species